CCAGCACCUGCGGUAAUUCCCAAGCAGCCCGCCAACCUGUAUCCGGACUCCCACCACACCAAGAACCCAAGUUUGCAUUAAAAGGCAGAAAAUGAGAUCCUCGUCACGUAGCAAAACGUUGUGGACACUGACGAAGAUUUGUUUGACACAUUGCUCAGGGAGAUUCGUCUGAUCGCCACCCAGCGAUUUCAGUUCCAGCUAUCCGAGGUGCAAAGAGAGAUCGGCGUUGUGUCCCGUAAAGGGUCUGAGAUGGCCCGCCAGCUUGAGAAAGACCUGGAAACCAAUAGGCUCACUGAUGCUGGCGAGCUGAACUACGCACUUGCUUUAACUUAACAGA
rnacentral:rRNA from 1 species